AUAAGAGACAGGAAUAGGCCCAGGCGACUGUUUAGCAAAAACACAGGUCUCUGCGAAGCCGUAAGGCGAAGUAUAGGGGCUGACGCCU
rnacentral:rRNA from 1 species